CAAUAGCGUAUAUUAAAGUUGUUGCGGUUAAAAAGCUCGUAGUUGGAUUUCUGCUGAGGAUGACCGGUCCGCCCUGUGGGUGUGCAUCUGGCUCAGCCUUGGCAUCUUCCUGAAGAACGUAGCUGCACUUGACUGUGUGGUGCGGUAUUUAGGACAUUUACUUUGAGGAAAUUAGAGUGUUUCAAGCAAGCGCACGCUUUGAAUACAUUAGCAUGGAAUAAUAAGAUAGGACCUUGGUUCUAUUUUGUUGGUUUCUAGAGCUGAGGUAAUGAUUGAUAGGGAUAGUUGGGGGCAUUCGUAUUUAACCGUCAGAGGUGAAAUUCUUGGAUUUGUUAAAGACGGACUACUGCGAAAGCAUUUGCCAGGGAUGUUUUCAUUGA
rnacentral:rRNA from 1 species